AUAUUGAAAGCAGGGACUUAAACAGAUAUUUGUAUAUUCACGUUCUUAGCAACAUUAUUCACACUAACCACAAGGAAAUAAUCUAGAUGUCCAUCAACAGAUGAACAGAUAAAGAAAAUGUGGUCUACACAUAUGAUGAAAUAUUACUUAGCUUUUAAAAAGGAAAUAUUGAAACAUGCUUUAACUUGGUUAAACCUUGAACUCAUCAUGCUGAGUGAGAAAAACCAGAUACAAAAGAAUAAAUAAUGUAUGAUAUCAUUUAUGAGAGGUUCCUAUAGUAAUCAUAUUCACAGAGAAAAAAAAUAGAUUGGUGGUGGCCAGGGACUGGAGGGAGUGGUGAAUGGUGAAUUGUUUGAUGGGUAUAGCUUGAUUUUGCAACAUGAAAAAGAUCCACAGCUGGAUGAUAGUGACGGCUGUACAAUUAUAAGAAUAUACUUAAUACCACUCAAGUGUACACUAAAGAAUGCUUACAGUGGUAAAUUUUAUGUUAUGUAUAUUUUAUCACAAUUAUAUAUAAUACACAUAUCACAUAAAGUAAGUACUUCCACCUUGUACAUCAAAAUGCAAAUUGGGAGGAACUUGGCUUAAAACUGAAGCUCAGCCUUGCUAUGCUAAGUGGCCUUAUGGCUAAUGUGCCGAUAAGAGAGAGAAGCCAUGAAGAUGAGGUGCCACUAGGAUGGGCAGAAUAAAAAUGCCCACAGACGUGACCCAGCAGAGGACAUCUCCUGACUAGGCAAGAUAAGCUGCACAGAGUCUUCAGGUUCCAACUGGGAAUCUGGGUCUCUGGCUCAGCAAUGUGGCCUGGGGCGCAAUGCCUAGCCCAACCAAGGGGAGGCCCUCACCCCUACCUUGCUCAGCUUGGUAUACAGGGUGAAAAUUGUGAGGACAGCAUCCUCCUUACCCUCUGUGUGUGAAAAUGAGGCCUAAAGAAGUAAGCUGCACGCAGUAGCAGAGCGAGUGCAGGGGAGAGGCCCUAUGAGAACUGGAGAGGGCGGCUCCGUAUCACUGAGCCCAAGAGGUACCACCCACCCUAUCAGAUGACGGCCCUCACCAGGCCGCAGGAACAAGAGGAGAGGCAAAACAACACGCAGAAUCCCAGCUGUGAAAACACCAAUGAGGACGCACACCACCCCCAGAGCCUUCCUAGAGCCGUGGGGGAAGGCACGCUGCAGCUUCCAACCUAUGUACUUCUCAAGGUCAGGACAUCUGCGGUUCUACAAAGGAGGAUGAAUAGCCUAGUCCAGGCAGCAAGAGAUGUGGUUGCCUCUUGCUCAGUGCUUAGAUUAGAAGGAGAACGGAUACUUGCAAUCGCUCACUUCUCCAUCCCACUGAUGACUAGAGGUAGAGACACAGGCAGGUGCUGAAGAGAGAAGCUGGAAAACCACAGACUUUUCUUAAAGAUGGAGGAAAUAGCACGGUUAAAGGAGCCCAAUCAAACUGACAAUCCUCUACAUCCACAUCUCCCAGGCCAUUCUUGUUUCUCCAUAAAGUGGGACAUCUCCAGAAGCCCUUGCCCUGACUUUGCUCUUCCCAAGCUUUAGGAUUUCAUUCUCUCCCCACAAUCACUUGGGAAAUGGAAUUUCUUCAAGAAAGUUUAAAUGUCACCACUUCUGUGAAGUCCUCCCCAAUUCCCCAGAAAAAGUGACCACACCUGUACCUAUGAGAAGGUGGACCUGUUGCCCACCCACUGGACAGACCAGAUGUUAUUUAUCUGCUUAUGAGAGGCCUGACAUUAGACAUGAGUGCCCUGAGGCAAGCCCUGUCUCCUUCCUGCACUUCUGACUGGAGGAUGCACCUGGCACACAGUAGGUUUGUUAGUGCAAAACCUCACUAGUGAUCCUAUAGAGCAUGGAGGAGAGCAUUGUGCUCGAUUCUAAAAAUUGAUUUUCUCAUGCUUUGAUUAAAAAAAAAAGUGAUUCUGUUGUAUAGGAAACUAGAAGGUAGACUUUUUAGAGAUGGAGAAGGGGGUCAAAAGAAGGGGAGGGGAGAAUAAGUAGGAGGCAUGGGGUUGAAAAUAUG